AUUAUCAAUCUUGCACCUCCUCCAAGGUUGAGGAAAGUCAAGCUUGAUUUCCUCAGGCUUCAGAAACAUCCAUCUAUAUACUUGAUUGCUGGAAGCACCAUCUUCUCAUUUCCAGUGUCUCUUCUUCUUAGAACAUCCCGCAUUAGCACAGUACAAUCUGUCGGAAACAUGCCGUCGGAUCAGAUAACUAUUUUCCUUAGUGUUGACUGACCAGUGGAAGAUCUUUUGAAACUACUAACCUCUGUGGAAACUCAGAACAACUGCUUCCUGUUAACCAAAGCAAAUAAAACAAACUGGAACGGCAGCCUUGAAGAAAGCACCACUUAUCUUUGCUGAGAUCUGCUCCAAAUGUCCCAGACCAUAUGCUGCUUCCGUCCAUUCUUCAUGCAGGUCUAAGAUCUACAGCUCUCUUUAAAAGAUUGGGCCAACUUUGCAAAACUUGAAGGGGUGAAACUGGCUCAGUAUUUUGAAUCCCAUCUGAAAGUACAGACGGGGAGAGAAAGAAUCUUGCCAGCUCUCACAUCUACAGAAAGUAUCACCUUCCAGAAGUUCUCCUGGGAUGUCACAGCAGCAAAUUGGAGAGUCUAUAUGUCUAGAAACUAUUUCAUCUUAUCGUUCCCCCAGUUGAAGAACAA